AGUGAACGCUGGCGGCAGGCCUAACACAUGCAAGUCGAGCGGCAGCGCGUCCGACCACCCUCGGGUGGUCGGAUGGCGGCGAGCGGCGGACGGGUGAGGAAUGCAUCGGAAUCUGCCUCGUUGUGGGGGAUAACGUAGGGAAACUUACGCUAAUACCGCAUACGACCUACGGGUGAAAGUGGGGGACCUUCGGGCCUCACGCGAUGAGAUGAGCCGAUGCCGGAUUAGCUAGUUGGCGGGGUAAAGGCCCACCAAGGCGACGAUCCGUAGCUGGUCUGAGAGGAUGAUCAGCCACACUGGAACUGAGACACGGUCCAGACUCCUACGGGAGGCAGCAGUGGGGAAUAUUGGACAAUGGGGGCAACCCGUGAUCCAGCCAUGCCGCGUGUGUGAAGAAGGCC
rnacentral:rRNA from 1 species